CACAAGUCGUCUGUGUUUUCUUUCUCAUUGUCUGAUAAUCAUUGUUGCUAACUGGUCGUCUUUUUGACCUCUGACGUCUGAUAAAGUGAGUACCAAACGACGUCACAACAUUGUGGGAUUCUGUCACGCGUAUAUCUUCUCCUUCCGUCGUUUGCUCAUCGCUAUUCCUGCUACCGUCAACUCAUCACCCACCGUCCUCCCCUCCUCCUUCUAUCGUUAGUUUGUCGUCGUCGUCGUUGCUGACAUCAACAUGGGCAAACAAAACAGCAAGCUGAAGCCUGAGGUGCUGGAAGAUCUCCGCCAUCAGACACAGUUCAGCGAGGAAGAGCUGCAGGAAUGGUACAAAGGCUUCCUCAAGGACUGCCCCAGCGGUCAUCUGUCUGUUGAGGAGUUCAAAAAGAUCUACGGAAACUUCUUCCCCUAUGGCGACGCCUCGCGCUUCGCGGAGCACGUGUUCCGCACGUUCGACACCAACGGAGACGGCUCCAUCGACUUCCGUGAAUUCAUCUGUGCGCUCAGCGUGACCUCCAGAGGUCAACUGGAGCAGAAGCUGCGCUGGGCCUUUAGCAUGUAUGACCUGGACGGGAACGGGUAUAUCUCUCGUCAGGAAAUGUUGGAGAUUGUCACGG
rnacentral:sRNA from 1 species